ensembl:lncRNA
ACAUUAACAUGUUACAUGUUAUUGCCCUCUUUUAUCUCUUCAUUUUCAGAAUUCUAAAACCAGACUAAUUGUCAAAGUAAUAAUAAACUUUUUGAUUUAAAAGCUCAAUUAACAGGAUUGUUUUUUUGUUUUGUUUUGUUUUUUUCGGGCAGUGGUUUUGUGUGUUUGUUAUAAACACCUGUCAAAAGCCCCGAUUGAAUAGCUAAAAUAGAUUUGAAUAUUUAGAAUAAUGUAUUAAUUCUGGUCCACAAAUUAUAAUUACAUUUAAAUAUAAUAUCUGUUGUGUAGACAAGUGAACAAAAUAAAACAUUCUCAUAAAUUCAGGCAAGAUAUAUUAGGUCAAUAAAAAGAAACCUACAGACUAAAGACUGUGUUCAGGAGAGCCCUGUACAUGCUCAAUUAUAUGUUUAUUAAUUAAAAAUUGUACAUAAUCAAUCUUUCAGGACUGAAUAAAAAAACUCUGUGGAUUCUGUACUGCGGCUGGGGGACAGUAUUCCUGACUAUGGCUGUGGUCUUCUCUGUUUGUUUACGCCAAGGUAAAGAGAGUGCAGUGCCUCCAGAAAUUUCGUCUGUAAUGUUUUACUCAGUGGAUCCCGUCAAUUUAGGGCUGGAUUUAAGUCCAACAAAAAAAUAACAAAUAAAGGGCAUCACUGGAGAUUGUGUUAUUGAAAGGAAUGUAAAGAAAUGCUAGAGUAUUCCAAAACAACUAAAAAGUCAAUUAAACUGAAAUUUGCAUUCUCCUAAUGCUGUUUAUGAUGGUAAUGACAUACUUUAUUCUAGGAUUCGACUGUCUUUUGUGUUCUGUGGGUGAACAUGCAUCUUUCAAACUUUCAAAAUUAUAUGAAUAAUCUACUAUAUAUUAUUGUUGUUUGAUUAUGUCUCCUCUUAGUCUCAAAUAAAGUUAUUUUUUGCUUUUACACAUUUAGAAUCAAAAUUGCCUUCUUUGAGGUGCUACUGUACAUGUGAAUAUGCACAAAUGAGAUUUGAGAGCUACAGCGUUGAACAAGAUUUUCAGUGAAAAACAAUUUAAUUCCCUCUGUUUCUUAUAGCGGUUUAUGCAAUAACUCUUUGGAUUUGGAAACACUAUUCACUAUUAACUAGUUGCUUAUUAGGAUUUUAUUGAGGGAAAGUGAAUAUGUGUUCCCUAAUAUAUUACCAUUUAUACUUAACAUAUAGAAAACAAGAGGCUUGUUUUGUAUAUUGCAGCUGAAGACACUUUGUUGUUGUUGUUGUUGUUCUCUCUCUCUCUCUCCCUUAUGUAAUGAUGUUUUGGGUAUUUUUGAUACUUUCCAUGCGGAAACUUGUGCAAAAGUUGAGGAGGGCCCCCUUGAGCUGAUGACCACAGACUUUUAACAUCAGGUUCUGGUGAUUUAUUAGCUAGAAAUAUGGGCCCUAACAUCGGAAAUAGCCAUUCAUAGAUUAGAAAUUGGCUGCGGCACGGCAGCACCAACUAGUCAAAAAUUACUUUCGAGAAAAACGCUCCCUCUAAAAUUUCUAAUUUCUAUAACUAUUAUGAAGUGGCGCAUUUACAAUAAUAUCCCACCUGUGGCUACAAGGCUCCAGAUAAUCUGCAUAAAUAUCUUCCUUGCCUCCUCCACUCACAUGGCGAUGAUUUUCUGAAGCCGUGUAGCUUUCAGAACCAAUAUUCCACCUGAGACCAUGACCAUCUGCCAAUAACAUUUGCAAAAUG